AACGCACCUUGCGCCCUUUGGCAUUCCGAAGGGCACGCCUGUUUGAGUGUCGUGAACUCCUCCACCCUCUCCUUUUUCGAAAGGUGUUGGGCUGGGAUUUGGGAGCUUGCAGGUCCCUGGCCGAUCUGCUCUCCUUGAAUACAUUAGCGAAGCCCUUGCGGCCUUGGUGUGAUAGUCAUCUACGCCUCGGCUUAGCGAACUUAUGGGAGUCGCUUCUAAUCGUCUCGCAAGAGACAACUUUUACCAACUUGACCUCAAAUCAGGCGGGACUACCCGCUGAACUUAA
rnacentral:misc_RNA from 1 species